UUAACUAGAUUCAUACUGUUUCUAUCUACUACCUACGGAAACCACAGCCAAGGGAGCAAGCUUGGCAGUAUCAGUGAAGAAAGAGGACUCUGUUGAUUUUGAAUUUAGGCCGACAUAGUGGGUGUAGUCUUUCAUUACAAACUUUGGUGACAAUGAAUGACUACUUUCAUCAUUUUUCCUUUACUUAUUCAGUGAAGCGGAGUUAAUACAGUAUACAUAUGCCUAUAUUGGCAUUGAAGGACAUACUGGCAGUUUUGCUGGGCUGGCGUAGUUUACAUCGGCGUUGGUAUACUCAAUCGCGUCUAGUUAGAUGUCGGUAGCCAGUUGCUGCUCUGAUACGGUGAUGAGUGGCUCUGCAGCGUUAUUUGUCAGCCCGGUCUGAAGAGACCGUUAGGCGGAGGUUUCGACGGAGGGGGGGGGGGACAUCUGUCAAAUCAUAACGCAGGUGUCCCAAGGUGAGCUCAGCCAGGACAGUAAUCUGGCAUAGAGUAAAAAAGCAAAAGCUCACUUGGUUCUAAUUUUCAUUAUGAAUACGGGCCAUUAAGUCGAGGCCUAUCGGUCCUUUUGAUAAUCUGAUGUCCAGAGUCUGAAACAAAAGGUGUUAGAAAAGUUACCACA
rnacentral:ncRNA from 1 species